rnacentral:lncRNA from 1 species
UUUCAACUAUUCUCUGGGUGUCUUGCCUACUGGUUUAGCGUGCAGACUUUAAACUUGCCAGCUUUCCACAAUCAGAGUAAAAUGACUGGUUAUUUAAAGAAGAAGAAGAAGAAGAAGGAAGGGAAGAAGAAGGAGAAAAUCUGGAACUGAACAAAAAGCCCACGCAUGUCAUAGAUUGCCUUUCAAGUAAUAUGUAAUUUUUCCUGUUUCUCCGUAUGCCUAUCUUCAAGUACAUAUAGAGAAAAUAUAAAGCUGAAGAAGUUUAGAUAACAAAAUAUUAUUUAAAACCUGAUAGAGAUUUGGAUAAAUCUGGCUAAUUAACAUUUUUAUAGUUAAAGCUCUUAGUCUUGAUUAAAGUAAAAUAAGAAAUAUUUUAAAGAAAUGCAUCGGCAGUUUGGCGAUAUUCUUUUUUAAUAUUGUUAAGCAUGAAGCCAGAUUUAGUGUGGAGCCAAAUUUCACAUACAUGCUUGCAUUGCUUCACACUAUGUUUACUGUUUUGCAUGGAUUAUACUAGCACUGUAGUACUUACUGGUAAUGUUCCCAGAGUGAAUUUCUUGAUUGUAUAGGAGGUAUGGUGAUAUUGGUACAAAUUAAGGAUAUUGAAUUGUGUAUGAGCAAUAAAACAUUCAUUAUGUGGGUUUUGGGGGGCUUUGGAUAACAUUGUAGCCUCCAGUGUAGACUGAGUAGAAAAUACUUAGCAUUGUUUUCCUGUUUAUUUGUUUUUGCUUCUAAAUUUUAUUUGUUUGUUAUUUGUUCUCCUUUGGGUUUUUGUAUGCAUAUGAUGCUUUUUAGUUUCCAAUGGAAGAAUUUUAUUUGAUUCUGUGAAUAGUUAUUUUUUCCCUAUGCAUCUCUAGCAAGCCAUCAUUUGUUCUAUUUCUCUGAGAUUCCUAGGCUCCUUUAGUCAGGCCUGCAGGAACUGAUGAAGCACACCAGCCAUUUGGAAUUUUGUUCAUUUUGCUUGCCUCUGAUAAUCUAGAGAACUAAAAAAUAAAAGACUUAUUUUUAUAGAUUCUGGACAGAAAUAGUACAUUACACAUUUUGUUGUUUGGAGGGGUAAAUGAGAGUGGAAAUGUUUGAGUGGUGUGUGUUUCCAGGGUGAUUCAAUUGAAUCAAUAGUUUGGGUUGGUUUCAGAACUUUUCCUUUGAUGAAGAAAAACUGUGAUAUGGGCACAAAGUUUUAAUGUUCAGGAAAGAUUGGCUUUGUCCUUAAGAAAAUUAUAUUGACUAGAAUUUCUCUCAAGCUAAUUCAAUUUUGUUUACUACUAUCAAAUUAAAAUUACCUUCACCUGGAUUAAGUAGUAAUAACAAAGGUGAGACUUUCCAGUGAUUUUUUUUAUCUCAAGCUGUCUAUCAGUGAUGAGCCUUCAUGUGUGUACUUGAAAACAAAAUAUGUGCAGGUGUUGCAAUGGUAUAAAAGUUUUUAUGGUGAAAGUUAUCUAAUUAGUUGUCAGUACCGUAUCUAGAAACCAAUCUUGGGAAUAUGUGAUGACCUGCUUUUAAAAAUAGCUGAAAGGAAACUGUUUGCUUGUUUUUACUUUGUCCUUGUUUUGUUGUAUCAUAUUUAAAUGAAAGGAGAUUAUUUCUCACCCUGAACUUCCAAAACUGAUAUUCUUAAUUAAAAAGUUUAUGGAACUCCUACCUUAUGGUGAGUCUAAUUAAAAUUAGUCAAAUUUGUUUAUAAGGUUUGAUUAAAAUUAGAUUUAAAAUUACUAAUAUGCCAUACAAAAGUAAAAUUUUGGUUUCCUCUUUUGGACAAAAUAUUUGCGUAAUAAAAAUAUUUGUUUACCUUUUGAAUAAACUUCAGGAAGAAAUUGGAGGGGGAAGAGACAAAUCUGGUUGCCUCGUGCUGUCUUAAGUAUUAGGUCUUAUUUGUUUGAGAAGUUAAACUGCAUUUCUUCAUUAUUGAAAAGUAAACGUUUUUGUAUUAUAAUUUUGGCUACCUAAAUGACAAUUUUAUAGUAACUUGUGAUAGUAUUUUGUGAUACCGAGUCUCUUAAACCACUGAAAUUGGAAAAACUUUCCAACAGCAGAAUUUCAAGUCUUAAAUUGAGUCUUUUGACCUCAAACUAAACUUUUUGGAUAUUAGGCUACCUGAAAUUCAACAAAGACACAUUGGGCUUAUUAGGUGUAUUUGUAAUGUUAUGAUUACACAACAAGCAUUGUCAAAUCUGAGGUAGUGUUUAGCCUCCUUUGGGUUAUAUUUAUAUAGAUGUUUUAUUAGCAUGUGUUCCAGGAUUGUAUGAGACUCCUUGAAUUGUGAUAUGUCUUAAUAUACAUUUUCAGUAAUAUAUGAUUAUUAUGUUAAAUUGUUGUAUACCAUAGAAAUAACCAAAUUUCCUUGUCGACUGUGUCUUUAAGUAUGGCUGUUGUGAAUAUUCUUAAUUCAUGGCCAUGUGUUUGUUUGCAUGCAGUUAAUAACCACAUGUUUUCUUUUGUAAUGGGACACAAUUAGAGAAACUGGUUAUUUUCUCAGAGCUUUCACUGAAAUGGCCUUGUGAGUUGUUCCAGCAAAGCCAAUUUAGAAGAGUCUACAUGAAAAAUAAUUUUUGUUGCACUUUGCGUGGGUACUCAUACCAAGUAUAUGAGACUGAAGCUUAUUAUGCAGGUAGAUUGGUUCUGCCAUGAUUUGUCUUUGGAGGAAAUGGCAGACCAGAGAGAGAAAUAUCAUAGGUCUCAAAAUUAAUAUAGUACCCAACAACCAAUCCCUCAUUAUACCUUUAACUUCAACCAAUGGACACAAACAAGCCAUCCAACUUAUACCCCUUUGGUAGGGCUAGGAAUAGCAGCAGGAGUAGGAAUAAGAGUUGGCAGGCUUGCAACUUCCCUAUCCUAUUACCAACGCUUGUCCAGUGAUUUUAUGAAAAGCUUGAAUGACAUUUCCCAAGGUAUCAUUACCAUACAAAGUCAAAUAGACUCUUUGGCAGUGGUCACUUUGCAAAAUAGAAUGGGACUAGAUCUCCUAACUGCUGAAAAAGGUGGCUUAUGACUUUUUCCUAGAGAACAAAUGCUGUUUUAAUGUCAACCAAUCAAGAUUAAUAAGACAUGACACCCAAAAACUAGCUGACUGGGCCUCUGAAAUAUCACAACAGCUGUUUGAGUCAUUAGGCUACUGGUGAAGGGCACUGCGUUAGGUUUCAUGGCUCCUCCCCUUGGCCAGCCCAUUAUUAAUAAUUACAAUUGCCUUGUUUUUUGGACCAUGUUUGUUAAAUCUUUUAACCAAGUUAAUUUCCAUCAAGCUUCAGACAAUCAUGAGAAAAGGUUUCCAGCAGUUCCAGAUGAAGACACUGUCAGCCAUCAAGAAGGUCCUCUGUCUCCACUAGACAGAGCUUGGCAAGAGUUCCAUGAUCCCCAAUAGGUAGGUACUGCACUCCAAGUCAGCAGGAAGCAGUAACUAAAACAAAUACCCUUUGUCCCUCUGCCCCCCCAUAGAGAUUUAUGGGGAUCAUGUCUCUUAGGGGGGAAAUAAGGCAGAAGAAUAAGAUCUGGAGGCAAGGAACCUCAGGCUGAUUCACACUGACUUCCUAAAACUGAAUCAAAAGGAAAAUCCACCUCUUCACACCCAAGUAACAAAAGGAUCAGAGGCUACUUGCUUUGCAAUCCCCCUACUUUGUCUGCAUUGCAAAUGAAAAAUAAAAUUACCUCUAUGGGCACCCUCCUGCAACCAAUCAGACUGGUCACAGGCCAAGACUUCAUGUGUAACUUUGUAACUUCACUUCAGCAUCUCAUUCAUUGGUUGCCUUCUGCAACCAAUCAGACUUGUUGUGGGCCACUACCUUAUGUAAAUAGGGUGUAAACCAAGUAACCAAUGGGAAACCUCUAGAGGGAUUUAAAUCCCAGAAAAUUCUGUACCCAGUGCUCUUGCACCACUUGGUCAAGUCCACUGUUACUCUGUGGAGUGUACUUUCAUUUCAAUAAAUCUGUGCUUUUCUUUUGUUGCUUUGUUUGUGCAUUUUGUCCAAUUCUUUGCAAAAUGCCAAGAACCUGUACACCCUCAAGUGGUAACAAUUGGGCAUAUUAUACUUAAUUGUUUUCCUGACACAACAUAUUAACAUUGGACAAAAUAUUAUCCUGAGAUACCACAACAAUGUUGGGCAAAAACAUAUUAAUUUUGGACAAAAACAACUUAAAUAGGACCUAUAACAUGUCAAUAUGAAUUAAAAUUAUCUGACUUAUUUUAUUUAAUUAAUACCUCAUUUUUUCUUAGUUUCC